AGUCUUCUCACUGCAGUUCAUCUAACUAGGCUGCUGUUGAUGGAGUGGGUUGAGAGAGCACCAGCUAACUAGAUGACCUGCAGAUUGACCUAUGGGCUUCGGGCUCAGCCCCCUUUAAAAGAGGGGGAGCCAUUGCAAUCUCUCUCUUUGCUCUUCUACCACCCUUCCUACUGAGGCACAGUAAAGACCAGACGAGCCAGUGUCCAGCACAUCUGGAGGCAUCAAGCCUACCUACAGCCACAUGCCACUGUGCUCUGUGUAUGACACAUCAAACCAGUCAGGCUUGGAAGCGUAAAAUUAAGAUCCUUAAAAGACGUUCUUCAUCUGUCAGGGUUGUGUUUAUGACUUAAAGAUGAUACAUUUUUAGGAAAGUAAUCACAAGACAGAAAAGCCUCGGAGAGAAGCUGCAGGAUGAUGUUGGCGGAGGGAGCUCUGGAGUAUGUUUUCAGACGUCUUGGCACUGGUUUGUUCUUAAACACUAUUGCGGCUCUUUAAUGAAAUAAAAGUCAUCUUUAUUCUGUU